rnacentral:rRNA from 1 species
ACGUUAGCGGCGGACGGGUGAGUAACACGUGGGUAACCUACCUAUAAGACUGGGAUAACUCCGGGGAACCGGGGCUAAUACCGGAUAACACAUGAAACCGCAUGGUUUCAUGAUGAAAGACGGUUUUGCUGUCACUUAUAGAUGGACCCGCGGCGUAUUAGCUAGUUGGUAAGGUAACGGCUUACCAAGGCAACGAUACGUAGCCGACCUGAGAGGGUGAUCGGCCACACUGGAACUGAGACACGGUCCAG